rnacentral:rRNA from 1 species
AACGAACGCUGGCGGCGUGCUUAAUACAUGCAAGUCGAACGUGAAGUUGUAGCAAUACAAUGGAAAGUGGCGAACGGGUGAGUAACACGUAAGUAAUCUACCCUUAAGAUGGGGAUAACCCUGCCAACGCGGGGCUAAUACCGGAUGUGGUCCAGAUACCGCAUGGUGACUGGAUUAAAGGAGAAAUCCGCUUAAGGAUGAGCUUGCGGCCCAUUAGCUAGUUGGUGAGGUAACGGCCCACCAAGGCUUCGAUGGGUAGCCGGCCUGAGAGGGUGUACGGCCACAUUGGGGACUGAGAUACGGCCCAGACUCCUACGGGAGGCUG